AAGACUAUACUUUCAGGGAUCGUUUCCAUAGUUAUUAUCAUUACUUGAGAAGUUUUUCUAAACAUGUAGAACACUGGAAGCCACGUGCAGAAGGCAAAGCAUUUUCUCCUGAUUGAGGAGCCUGUUCUUGGUAUUGUAUCACUGCAACUGCCUUUUGUCUUUGAUGGAGGUUCUCUUCCCUUGGGAGAGUAAGUAAGAUAGGACAUAGCCUGAGUGGU
rnacentral:snoRNA from 1 species